GCUGAUGUGGCACAGGUGGUAGCGCACAUCCUUGGUAAGGAUGAGGUCACGAGUUCGAAUCUCGUCAUCAGCUCCA
rnacentral:tRNA from 2 species